AUCGUUGUCUACCUCUGCGACUGCCUUAGAA
rnacentral:sRNA from 1 species